AUUGAACGCUGGCGGCAGGCCUAACACAUGCAAGUCGAGCGGAGCGGCGGACGGGGGAGUAAUGCUUAGGAAUCUGCCUGGUAGUGGGGGAUAACGUCAGGAAACGGGCGCUAAUAUCGCAUACUAUCAGAUGAGCCUAGGUCGGAUUAGCUAGUUGGUGGGGGAAAGGCCUACCAAGGCGACGGUCCGUAACUGGUCUGAGAGGAUGAUCAGUCAAACUGGAACUGUGACACGGUCCAGACUCUUACGGGAGCCAUCAGUGGGUAAUAUUGGACAAUGGGCGAAAGCCUGAUCCAGCCAGGCCGCGUGUGUGAAGAAGGUCUUCGGAUUGUAAAGCACUUUAAGUUGGGAGGCGUUACCAACAGAAUAAGCACCGGCUAACUUUGUGCCAGCAGCCGCGUAAUUC
rnacentral:rRNA from 1 species